rnacentral:rRNA from 1 species
AUUGAACGCUGGCGGCAGGCCUAACACAUGCAAGUCGAACGAGUGGCGGACGGGUGAGUAAUGUCUUGGAAACUGCCCGAUGGAGGGGGCUAACUACUGGAAACGGUAGCUAAUACCGCAUACCAUCGGAUGUGCCCAGAUGGGAUUAGCUCGUGGGUGGGGGAACGGCUCACCUAGGCGACGAUCCCUAGCUGGUCUGAGAGGAUGACCAGCCACACGGGAACUGAGACACGGUCCAGACUCCUACGGGAGGCAGCAGUGGGGAAUAUUGCACAAUGGGCGCAAGCCUGAGGCAGCCAGGCCGCGUGUAUGAAGAAGGACUUCGGGUUGUAAAGUACUUUCAGCGGGGAGGCGUUACCCGCAGAAGAAGCACCGGCUAACUCCGUGCCAGCAGCCGCGGUAAUAC